UAUGCAUUGGUUCCAAAGCAGAAGAGCAGUAAGGGCUUGGCCAUGGGGGUUAAGUGAUUUGCUCAGAAAGUGUCUGAAUUCAAAUUCGAACCCAGGACCUCUCAUCUCUAGGCAUGGCUCUCCAUCCACUGAGCCACCCAGCUGCCCCCUGUGCUACAUUUUUGUCUGUGUUUCUGACUCUCCUGGACUUCACUACCACAAUCCAGUUGACUUUUAAUUCUGGAGCUCCUCUCACCCUGGACAACCUCUCUGUUUCUUCCAUUGGAGGGGAAUUCUGUAGCCUGGGAUGCUCAGGAAAGAGCCCCAGGGCCCCCGUGGGCGGAAGAGGAGGCAGGCCAGCCCCUCCACCCAGCAGAGGGGGCUUCUUGGCGCCCCAGGGACCCAGUCAGCAGAAAGGACCCCAGAGUCAGAAGGAGAGAGCAAGCACCUCUCCUUUCAGAAGAGAAGGUCUGCUCCUGGCUCUCAGAACGAUUCCUCCAAAACUCUAGCUUACUGACAAAAACAAAAUCUAAAC
rnacentral:lncRNA from 1 species